rnacentral:snRNA from 1 species
ACAGACCAGAAGGAUGCAAAAAAGACCCUGGGCAAUGGCCAGCCACCAGGCAAUCAGAGGAAUGCGCCAGCUGAGAUGAACCGAGGGGAGUCCGCCGACAUCCAACGACAAGAACUAGUUCAAC